rnacentral:rRNA from 1 species
UACGUAGGGUGCGAGCGUUGUCCGGAAUUGCUGGGCGUAAAGAGCUCGUAGGUGGUUUGUCGCGUUGUUCGUGAAAACCGGGGGCUUAACCCUCGGCGUGCGGGCGAUACGGGCAGACUUGAGUACUGCAGGGGAGACUGGAAUUCCUGGUGUAGCGGUGGAAUGCGCAGAUAUCAGGAGGAACACCGGUGGCGAAGGCGGGUCUCUGGGCAGUAACUGACGCUGAGGAGCGAAAGCGGGGGGAGCGAACAGG